UAAGAAUAAUGAGUUGGCAAAUUUGUUAGAGACAGCUGUAUAGUUCUUUGUAUAAAAACAGUAGAAGAGUCUCGAAUAGAAGCAGUUACAAUUUCACAAUAUUUUCUCUCAUUCUCCUAUCCUUUCAAGUUUAAUUUGGGGUUGUAUGGGGACAAAGAACAUAUAAUUCACUUACCUUGAUAUGUGGUAUGGUGGGGGGGUAGGCUCCUUUGGAUUGCUUAGUCGGAACAAAAUAUGUUUAUAUGGGAUGUGAGUGCUUCUUGGAUUUGCAUAAAAAAUGCCUCAUUAGCAUUAGAUAGAAGUAGUUUUUAUGUAUUCUAUCCUUAAGUACAACAAUAUAGUUUCAAUUUUCAAUGCAUGUUUACUAGGUCAAUGCUAUCAAAAAUAAAUGUUAUCCAAAUCCCAAAAUUCAAAGCAAUAUAAUUAUAAAUAUAUAAAAUUUUUGUGACUUAGAUUGUGUGCUUCUUGUCCAUAGGUGUUUGAAUGUUGGAACAUUGAUUUCAGGAUUCCAGGGUUUCAAUGGUCCAUGAUUUGGAUCAUAGAUUGCUAGGAGGAGCCUAUUUUGUUAACACUGAUUUAAUAUAGUUUUACAAUGUUUUAUUUUCUUUGAUUUAGGUAUGGCUAAUA
rnacentral:misc_RNA from 1 species